CCGGGACUGAGAGUCACGGGACUAGGGAGACUCGCGCCGGGAUCGAGGCUCGCAGGACCGAAACUCGCGUAGAGACUGGGACUCGCAGGACUGGGACUCUUACCGGGACUGGGACUCGCAGGACAGGGACUCUUACCGGGACUGGGACUCGCAGGACUGGGACUCUUACCGGGACUGGGACUCUUACCGGGACUGGGACUCGUAG
rnacentral:lncRNA from 1 species